rnacentral:rRNA from 1 species
GACGAACGCUGGCGGCGUGCUUAACACAUGCAAGUCGAACGGUGAACGAGGGAGCUUGCUCCCUCCGGGUCAGUGGCGAACGGGUGAGUAACACGUGAGCAAUCUGCCCCGCACUCUGGGAUAAGCGUUGGAAACGACGUCAAAUCCCGGAUGCGCCGCGGGAGGGCAUCCUCUCCGCGUGGAAAGAACUUCGGUUCGGGAUGGGCUCGCGGCCUAUCAGCUUGUUGGUGGGGUAGCGGCUUACCAAGGCGACGACGGGUAGCCGGCCUGAGAGGGUGACCGGCCACACUGGGACUGAGAUACGGCCCAGACUCCUACGGGAGGCAGCAGUGGGGAAUAUUGCACAAUGGGCGGAAGCCUGAUGCAGCAACGCCGCGUGCGGGACGACGGCCUUCGGGUUGUAAACCUCUUUUGGCUGUGAAGAAGCGAGAGUGACGGUACCUGCAGAAAAAGCACCGGCUAACUACGUG